rnacentral:rRNA from 1 species
UACGUAGGGGGCUAGCGUUGUCCGGAAUCAUUGGGCGUAAAGAGCGCGUAGGCGGCCAGAUAAGUCCGGUGUGAAAGUCACAGGCUCAACCUGUGAAUGCCGCUGGAAACUGUCUGGCUUGAGUCCGGGAGGGGCGAGUGGAAUUCCUGGUGUAGCGGUGAAAUGCGCAGAUAUCAGGAGGAACACCAAUUGCGAAGGCAGCUCGCUGGGACGUUACUGACGCUGAGACGCGAAAGCGUGGGGAGCAAACAGG